rnacentral:rRNA from 1 species
GUAGUUGAUCAUGGCUACAGAACGAACGCUGGCGGCAUGCCUAACACAUGCAAGUCGAACGAGACCUUCGGGUCUAGUGGCGCACGGGUGCGUAACGCGUGGGAAUCUGCCCUUUGCUUCGGAAUAACAGUUAGAAAUGACUGCUAAUACCGGAUGAUGUCUUCGGACCAAAGAUUUAUCGGCAAAGGAUGAGCCCGCGUAGGAUUAGGUAGUUGGUGGGGUAAAGGCCUACCAAGCCGACGAUCCUUAGCUGGUCUGAGAGGAUGAUCAGCCACACUGGGACUGAGACACGGCCCAGACUCCUACGGGAGGCAGCAGUGGGGAAUAUUGGACAAUGGGCGCAAGCCUGAUCCAGCAAUGCCGCGUGAGUGAUGAAGGCCUUCGGGUCGUAAAGCUCUUUUACCAGGGAUGAUAAUGACAGUACCUGGAGAAUAAGCUCCGGCUAACUCCGUG